CCUACGGGAGGCAGCAGUGAGGAAUAUUGGUCAAUGGGCGCUAGCCUGAACCAGCCAAGUAGCGUGAAGGAUGACUGCCCUAUGGGUUGUAAACUUCUUUUAUAUGGGAAUAAAGUGCAGUAUGUAUACUGCUUUGCAUGUACCUUCUGAAUAAGGAUCGGCUAACUCCGUGCCAGCAGCCGCGGUAAUACGGAGGAUCCGAGCGUUAUCCGGAUUUAUUGGGUUUAAAGGGAGCGUAGGCGGGUUGUUAAGUCCGUUGUGAAAGUUUGCGGCUCAACCGUAAGAUUGCAGUUGAUACUGGCAGGCUUGAGUACAGUAGAGGUAGGCGGAAUUCGUGGUGUAGCGGUGAAAUGCUUAGAUAUCACGAAGAACUCCGAUUGCGAAGGCAGCAUGCUGGACUGUAACUGACGCUGAUGCUCGAAAGUGUGGGUAUCAAACAGGAUUAGAUACCCGAGUAGUC
rnacentral:rRNA from 1 species